CUCACUCUCUGACACACUCGCGCAGAGACAUUCGCUAACAACCCCCCCCCCCCUUUUUUUUCUGCCUCUAACAAGCCUCAUUGCUUUAGACCGAACCGCUUCAGCCCCUGGAUGGCGAUCUCAUGCGAGCCGAGAGCGCAUCAGCUCCAACUUCCCUCGUUCUCUAAACACAUGAAGCCGUCACUUUCACACUUGAUUAAUAGCAAAUGGACUAAGCUGGCUGCCAGAGACCGCUUUGCCAAACACCAGAGGAGAAACGCUACAUGUUCUGCUGCUCUUUCUUUCGUCUUCCAGGAGUGUGUGUUCAGCUCCGAGGACUGAAGGAGAGCAGGGAUGGGGAGAAGGAGCUCGGAUGCGGCUCGGAGGUUGGGAGUGAGUCUUCAGUGCCUUGGAUUUAUUGUCGUCUGCUCAGAUUUCCAGGAUAAAAUAGACGCAGGCUGAGGUAUUGUAUGGCCGAGUUCCAGAUUGUAUUCAAUAUUAUGGACACAGAGGACAGUUUAAAAGCUGCUCUUUGAUGCCAUAUCCGCUUACAUUUCGCUUGCUCCCUGUAGCCAUGUUUUCAAAGAAACAUCCAGCGGAAAACAUCCUCUGCAUUUGAAAUGUAGAUCGCUCACGCCAUUCUGCAUACAGCGCGUGCCCUCUCUUGCUCCUCUCCCACGUUCGGCUUU
ensembl:lncRNA